GGACUACUCGGGUAUCUAAUCCUGUUUGCUCCCCACGCUUUCGCAUCUCAGCGUCAGCAAGAAGCCAGCGAGUCGCCUUCGCCACUGGUGUUCCUCCGAAUAUCUACGAAUUUCACCUCUACACUCGGAAUUCCACUCGCCUCUCUUCUGCUCCAGGCCGCCAGUUUUGAAGGCAAUUCCGGAGUUGAGCUCCGGGCUUUCACCCCCAACUUAACGGCCCGCCUACAUGCGCUUUACGCCCAGUAAAUCCGAACAACGCUAGCCCCCUUCGUAUUACCGCGGCUGCUGGCAC
rnacentral:rRNA from 1 species